rnacentral:rRNA from 1 species
UACGUAGGGUGCAAGCGUUAAUCGGAAUUACUGGGCGUAAAGCGCGUGUAGGCUGCUCUGUGUGUCGGAUGUGAAAGCCCCGGGCUCAACCUGGGAAGUGCACUCGAAACUACAGAGCUGGAGUCUCGGAGAGGAUGGCGGAAUUCUCGGUGUAGAGGUGAAAUUCGUAGAUAUCGAGAGGAACACCGGUGGCGAAGGCGGCGAUCUGGGCGAUGACUGACGCUGAGACGCGAAAGCGUGGGGAGCAAACAGG